GGCGCCCUACCGCGAGGAGCACGAUGGGUACGACCGCCCUGGCCGCGUUGCCGAUCUCGGCCACGACUCCCCGCCGGCCUACAUGCUCCCUGACCACCCUUCCUACCUCGGACGUCCGGCAUCCCUGCGCGCCGGGAGGAAGGAAAGCGACUAUUUUGGCGGCUCUGGCGAGGACUGUAGCCUUCUCAAGGACGACUACCUUGGGGGCGGCCCUGGUCCGCGGAGCAUCGGAAAGGAGAACGAGUUGUUUGGAGGUGAUGGCAUUACUCUCAGAAUAAGUGCAACUGAAACGGUUGCUGUGGAGUACGUCAAGAUGGCCACGCGCGGAAGGUCGUCGCACUUUUGAUGGAGCACGCAUUCGUGGGCCUCGUCACCUUCGGCACGCAGCUUGGGCUGGCGGGUGCUGGGUGCUCGGGCUUCCCCAGAUGCCACAGCAACCGGGGGAGCCACAGGUGAAUGGGAUGCAUCCGCCCUCCACAGCCGGGGUCAACUGGUUCCUGCUCCCGGUCAGAGUGCAAGUGCGCACACGUUGCUGGAUGAGUUGCAGCCUUACGCCAGUGGAGGCCGAGAACCUUAAUUGUUUCAAAAGAUUUGUCAGAACACAUAAGGAUCUUGACAGGGACACAGCCCCUCACUUCCAGAAAACCAUUAAUUUUUAUGAUGGUCUUGCUAAGCAGUUGGUCAAUUUGCAUCUGCACUCGAUCAGGUUUGUAUAGCACAUGGUUUAGCACGAUUUAUGCUUGCAUUUGCAUCAAGAUUUCUAUUUUCAUUAUUUCAUAAAACAGAAGAGAAAAUUCUGAAUUUAUUUCGAGUGGUUUUUUAUUAUUAGACCGAAUGGUCAUCCACUGAAUCGAUGGAUAACUACACAAUGUUUGAUUUAGUGUCAAUCUCGAUGGACAUAACUAACAUGAAAGAGGUAAUUUUGUAGACAGCUGUUUUGCUUGAUACAGAUGGCUGAAGUUGUCUGCCAAGUUCUGCAACCUUAACGGAUACGCCACCGGUACCCUAAACAGCCGAGUACACUCUGCACACAUACAAUCAGUAAAUCCUGCAUCUUGAUGAGUAACACCAUCAAGCUCCACGUUUAUCCAUGCCACACCUAGAGUUCAGAUGGUCGCUGGAGGAGAUGCUCUUGGCAACAAUACAACACUCUUGAUUCAGGUCAUCCUGUUUGUGCAUCAACAACAUAUAUUGAAGGGAUUAUUAAAGAGUAAAGGAGGUGGUGAAUAUCUUACAAGGAUUUCUAAUUUUCUAGAACAAUCAUAGCAGCUGGCCUUCAUUGCUGCGAAGUUGUUGGUCGUGGGAGCUUCUGUGAAACGGGUGAACUAAACAAAGCCCUAAUAAAGGAUGGUGAAAAGGGGCAAGAUGGGUAUGGGCCAACUCCACCCACCGCUUCCAACGACGUUAGCCUUAAAUAGAGGCCUUGUUUAGUUCUGAAAAGUGAAAACUUUUCGGAACUGUAGCAAUUUCGUUUGUUUGUGACAAAUAUUAUCCAAUCAUGGACUAACUAGGAUCA